UAAAUAUCAGGAGUCGCUAAUAGGUGAGAAAAGAGUCCCAGUCUCAGGUGUUAGUCGCUAAAUAGUCACUAGAGCGUUGGUAAUAUGAGACUAAUUUGUGACUACACUAAAACGCGAGUCGCAAAGAGUGACGGAAUUGUGACUAUAUUUCAAGAGUCACAAACUAUUUGUCAAGGAUUUUGUAGUUUAAGAGGCAAAUAAAUUGAUCUUAAGUGUUGAGAAUAAAUGAAAUUACGAUUAUAGAACAAGAUUGAUCAAUUAAAUGAGUAAAACCAUGAAAUCCAUUUGAGUUAUGAU
rnacentral:lncRNA from 1 species